GGUUUCCAAGGUGAAGGGGGCGGAGCCUCUGAGAAAGUUUCCACAGAAACAAGCUGGCCAGCCCGGGAGGACCGCUCGCCUUUCGCUGGAACUUCACCCCUCGCUCACACCACGCGUGAUGAAAAGGCACACACGUUGACGGGAUGUUCGGGGUGCCCACGCCCCAAAGAUACCGCUAAGGACAGAGCAGAAGGCCGCACCCCUUCUGAUGAAGAGUUGAGUCUUCCAUCCAACAAUUCCAUCCUAGCAAUCAAUGCCUCGUGAGUGAGAUCACAGCCUCGUGUGAUCGGCCUGGAUCGGGGACGAGCCUGUCAAGACGCAAGUUUGGAGUCAGUCUUGUGCUCCCUUUCUGACUGCAGUCAAGUCAGUCAUCCUCUUCCUAGGGUUGUUUGUUUUGGC